GAUGAACGCUGACAGAAUGCUUAACACAUGCAAGUCAACUUGAAUUUGGGUUUUUAACUUAGGUUUGGGUGGCGGACGGGUGAGUAACGCGUAAAGAACUUGCCUCACAGCUAGGGACAACAUUUGGAAACGAAUGCUAAUACCUAAUAUUAUGAUAAUAGGGCAUCCUAUAAUUAUGAAAGCUAUAAGCGCUGUGAGAGAGCUUUGCGUCCCAUUAGCUAGUUGGAGAGGUAACGGCUCACCAAGGCGAUGAUGGGUAGCCGGCCUGAGAGGGUGAUCGGCCACAAGGGGACUGAGACACGGCCCUUACUCCUACGGGAGGCAGCAGUGGGGAGUAUUGGACAAUGGACCGAGAGUCUGAUCCAGCAAUUCUGUGUGCACGAUGAAGUUUUUCGGAAUGUAAAGUGCUUUCAGUUGGGAAGAAACAAAUGACGGUACCAACAGAAGAAGUGACGGCUAAAUACGU
rnacentral:rRNA from 1 species